AGAGUUUGAUUAUGGCUCAGGACGAACGCUGGCGGCGUGCUUAACACAUGCAAGUCGAACGGGGUCGCAAGACCCAGUGGCGGACGGGUGAGUAACGCGUAGGCAAUCUGCCCCUCAGUGGGGGACACCCAGCCGAAAGGUUGGCUAAUACCGCAUACGCUGGUCGGUUGAAAUACCGGUCAGGAAAGGUUUACCGCUGAGGGAUGAGCCUGCGUCCGAUUAGCUAGUUGGUAGGGUAACGGCCUACCAAGGCGACGAUCGGUAGCUGGUCUGAGAGGACGAUCAGCCACACUGGAACUGAGACACGGUCCAGACUCCUACGGGAGGCAGCAGUGGGGAAUUUUCCGCAAUGGGCGCAAGCCUGACGGAGCAACGCCGCGUGGGUGACGAAGGAUUUCGGUCUGUAAAGCCCUUUCAGUCGGGACGAGUCGCAGACGGUACCGACAGAAGAAGCAUCGGCUAACUACGUGCCAGCAGCCGCGGUAAGACGUAGGAUGCGAGCGUUGUCCGGAAUUAUUGGGCGUAAAGCGUACGUAGGCGGUCAUCUAAGUCUGGGGUUAAAGACCAAGGCUCAACCUUGGGAGUGCCCUGGAUACUGGGUGACUGGAGGACGGCAGAGGAAAGUGGAAUUCCCAGUGUAGCGGUGAAAUGCGUAGAUAUUGGGAGGAACACCAGUGGCGAAAGCGACUUUCCGGGCCGUUCCUGACGCUGAGGUACGAAAGCCAGGGGAGCAAACGGGAUUAGAUACCCCGGGUAGUCCUGGGCCGUAAACGAUGGGAUACUAGGUGUCAUCGGUAUCAACCGCGGUGGGUGCCGUAGCUAACGCGUUAAGUAUCCCGCCUGGGGAGUAUGGUCGCAAGGCUGAAACUCAAUGAAUUGACGGGG
rnacentral:rRNA from 1 species